UACAGAGGGGGCAAGCGUUGUUCGGAAUUACUGGGCGUAAAGGGCGCGUAGGCGGCCUGCUAAGUCGAACGUGAAAUCCCCGAGCUCAACUCGGGAACUGCGUCCGAUACUGGCGGGCUUGAAUCCGGGAGAGGGAUGCGGAAUUCCAGGUGUAGCGGUGAAAUGCGUAGAUAUCCGGAGGAACACCAGUGGCGAAGGCGGGUCUCUGGGCCGAUACUGACGCUGAGGAGCGAAAGCGUGGGGAGCGAACAGG
rnacentral:rRNA from 1 species